GAUGAACGCUGGCGGCGUGCCUAAUACAUGCAAGUCGAGCGAACAGAUGAGGAGCUUGCUCCUCUGACGUUAGCGGCGGACGGGUGAGUAACACGUGGAUAACCUACCUAUAAGACUGGGAUAACUUCGGGAAACCGGAGCUAAUACCGGAUAAUAUAUUGAACCGCAUGGUUCAAUAGUGAAAGACGGUUUUGCUGUCACUUAUAGAUGGAUCCGCGCCGCAUUAGCUAGUUGGUAAGGUAACGGCUUACCAAGGCAACGAUGCGUAGCCGACCUGAGAGGGGGAUCGGCCACACUGGAACUGAGACACGGUCCAGACUCCUACGGGAGGCAGCAGUAGGGAAUCUUCCGCAAUGGGCGAAAGCCUGACGGAGCAACGCCGCGUGAGUGAUGAAGGUCUUCGGAUCGUAAAACUCUGUUAUUAGGGAAGAACAAAUGUGUAAGUAACUAUGCACGUCUUGACGGUACCUAAACAGAAAGCCCCGGCUAACUACGUG
rnacentral:rRNA from 1 species